rnacentral:rRNA from 1 species
AGAGUUUGAUUAUGGCUCAGGACGAACGCUUGCGGCGUGCCUAAGAAAUGCAAGUCGAACGAGGGCUUCGGCCCUAGUGGCGAACGGUCGCGUAACACGUGGACAAUCUGCCCUAAAGUGGGGACACCAAACCGAAAGGUUUGCUAAUACCGCAUGUGAUCAACAUCGGCAUCGAUGUUGACGAAAGCCUUCGGGCGCUUUAGGAUGAGUCCGCGGCCUAUCAGCUAGUUGGCGGGGUAACGGCCCACCAAGGCAUCGACGGGUAGCUGGUCUGAGAGGACGGCCAGCCGGAUUGGGACUGAGAUACGGCCCAGACUCCUACGGGGGGCAGCAAUUAGGAAUCUUGCACAAUGGGGGAAACCCUGAUGCAGCGACGCCGCGUGAAGGAUGAAGUCUUUCGGGAUGUAAACUUCUUUUAUUAGGGAAGAAGAAUGUGACGGUACCUAAUGAAUAAGCCCCGGCUAACUACGUGCCAGCAGCAGC